CUUCUAUUAUUAUUGUUGUUGUUGUUGUUACUACUAUUGUCAUUAUCACUAUUAUCACUACUACUAUUAUUAAUAUUUUUAUUAAAACCACUAUUCUUCUAUUAUUAUUGUUGUUGUUGUUGUUAUUAUUAUUAUUAUUAUUGAAAAAAAAAACCAUGGACUUGAUUUGAAGGAUAUAAUUGAAAACUAUAAAAACAUUGAUAAAAAUGCUAAGAAAAAGAAUAAGAAAUCAAAAGAAGAGGGACCAAAUUGAAAUUAAUAUUAUCAUUGAAAAAAAAAAAUAUAAACUUGAUCUGAAGGAUGAAAUUGAAAGCCAUAAAAACUUUGACAAAAAAACAAGAAAAAAAAUAAGAAAUUAAAAGUAGAAGGAUUGAAUCGAAAAAUAUUAUAUAUACAAAUUAAAAAUUAAAGAGUUAAAUUGAAAACAAAUAAAACUUUAACAAAAGAAAAAAUAAAAAAAAUACAAAAAUCAAAACUUGAAGGACUGAAUCUGAAAUACCAAUAACAAUGAGGAUCAUAAUGUAUUUAUUGGGGUAGGAGAGAGAGAUUAAGAAAGAAAAAGAAAAGAAAAAAAAAAGGGUUAUUGAUGAUAAACUGGCUACAUUUGGAGGAUACACACCACCCAUAAUGGAUGAGGAGACAACGAGGAAUAAAAUGAGACAAUGAAAACUUAUUUUUUACCAUCGAAAGUCGUUGUGCGCUCCUAAAGUACAUAGUUGCUCCAAUGUGCUGACAGAUGUAAAACAUGUAUCAACAAUCUUUUCAAUUAAAAAAUAUUAUUUUAAUGAUAAAUUAUGUUAUUAUCCUUAACCAAACUAACAAAUAACAAAAAAAUUGAGGCUAAAAGAUCCCAAUACCUCUUAUCAUAAUGAAUUAAGUUUCUUGGAUUCAAGGAUAUAUGUGUAAUUGUAUAAUAUAUGAGAAAACAAAAAUAAAUACCCCUACCGGAGACAAUUUAUUUUUACUUUUAGGAAUAUUUUGGUUAUUUUAUUGUUCAUUAAAAAGUUGAAUAUAUAAAAAUAUACCCAAAUAAAUCAACAAUGAUUAAUGCGUAGUGUGAAAAUACCAAAAUAACUUUGGUUCAGAGGCAAAUAAUUUUUGCUGGGAAGGAGAAAAUGUUCAUUAUAUUGUACUGGUGAAUAGAAAAAUACGAGGCGGCUGCAAUGAUUUUGCCUUUCAGUUUUAGUUUUUUAUGUUAUUUGCUAGACAUAAGAGGUAUGAGUGGGUGAAGUGUUCCAAUGUUCGGUGGUGGACUGGUGCUGCUGCUGUAUGUUAGUGUGGGUUUGGAAUUGUGGUCGUAAAUGUUGAUUUGGAAUCGAAUUGCCACCUUCU
rnacentral:lncRNA from 1 species